rnacentral:rRNA from 1 species
GAUGUCCUACGGGAGGCAGCAGUGGGGAAUAUUGCACAAUGGGGGAAACCCUGAUGCAGCGACGCCGCGUGAGUGAAGAAGUAUUUCGGUACGUAAAGCUCUAUCAGCAGGGAAGAAAAUGACGGUACCUGGCUAAGAAGCCCCGGCUAACUACGUGCCAGCAGCCGCGGUAAUACGUAGGGGGCAAGCGUUAUCCGGAUUUACUGGGUGUAAAGGGAGCGUAGACGGCAGCGCCAGUCUGGAGUGAAAUCC